CCUGGUAGCUCAGUGGUAAAGAAUCUGCCUGCAAUGCAGGAGACCCAGGUUCGAUCCCUGGGUCAGGA
rnacentral:tRNA from 1 species